rnacentral:rRNA from 1 species
AUGGAGGACUUCAAAGCUACACAUCUGGAAGGAGUUGAGGAUAAACUGAAGAAUCUGCAACUUUCUGAAGCUGAAAAGAGGGGAAUCAGGAUUGGAAAGAAGCAAGCAUGCUCCUCGCAAGUAAGUAAAUUACAAGCAGUAGGUAAACUACUUUCAGAGAGGCCUGUUAGAGGGGAACUUGUGGGGAGAACUCUAGGGGGAGUCUGGAGCCCCUUUUUUGGCAUGGAAGGUAAAGAUCUUGGCAGGAAUCGAUUUCUCUUUACAUUCCACCAAAAGACUGAGAAAGACAAGGCACUGGACGUUGGAGUUUUAAUAACGAUCUGCUGGUUAUGGAAGAUUUUGUGCCAAGCAAAACCAUAG